CCUACGGGAGGCAGCAGUGGGGAAUAUUGCACAAUGGGGGAAACCCUGAUGCAGCAACGCCGCGUGAGUGAGGAAGUAUUUCGGUAUGUAAAGCUCUAUCAGCAGGGAAUAGAAACGAAGGUACCUGAAACAGACGCCCCGGCUAACUACGUGCCAGCAGCCGCGGUAAUACGUAGGGGGCAAGCGUUAUCCGGAUUUACUGGGUGUAAAGGGAGCGUAGACGGAAAGGCAAGUCAGAAGUGAAAGCCCAAGGCUCAACCAUGGGACUGCUUUUGAAACUGUCAAACUAGAGUACGGGAGAGGUAAGAGGAAUUCCUAGUGUAGCGGUGAAAUGCGUAGAUAUAAGGAAGAACACCAGUGGCGAAGGCGGAUGACUGGACGGCAACUGACGGUGAGGCGCGAAAGCGUGGGGAGCAAACAGGAUUAGAUACCCCGGUAGUC
rnacentral:rRNA from 1 species